rnacentral:rRNA from 1 species
UAGAUACCCUAUUAUUUAAAAUGUAAAAUUGUAUUGGCUUGAGUAGUAUUAGUUAUGAUCUUGAAACUCAAAGAAUUUGGCGGUAUUUUAGUCUUUUCAGAGGAAUCUGUCCCGUAAAUGAUAAUACACGAUUAACUUUACCAUUUUUUGUAAUUUCAAUAUGUAUACCGCCGUCAUCAGUUUAUCUUAAGAGAGUUAUUAAUUUUCUUUAAUUUUAAUUUGGAUUUAUGUCAGGUCAAGGUGCAGUUUAUAUUAUGGUGGUGAUGGAUUACAAUAAUUUUAUUUAUAUGGAUUAUCAUAUGAAAAUUGAUAUGAAGGUGGAUUUGUAGGUAAUUUUAUUUAUUUUAUUAUUUUGAUUUUAGCUCUAAAAUAUGUACACAUC